CUUGAUUGAUUUUGAAUCAGAGCUUCGGUAGCCAUGUGAAUGAAUUCUGUUCAGAACGAAAACGAGAACUUCGAACAAUCACGGAAUGAACUCCGUUUGGAAUGAAAACUAAAACUUCGAACAAUCAAGGAAAGGAAAUGAGAAGAUGAAGUUGCUCUGAUACCAUAUUAGAGGUAAGAGAGAAAUCUGGAAAAAUCUAAUUUCUCAUUCAACGUACCAGAAAAUGAACCGUACAUCCAGAUUAAAUAGGAAAAGAAAAAGGCGGGAAAACUUGUUACAAGAACAGCUGUCCAACUAAACUAGCUAAACUAGCACCAAAAUGAUUCCAUUCUCUGAUAGCACCUUCUCCAACAUCGGUUUUAACUUUUAAGCACCUUCUCCUCCCAUUCUAAAACGGAAAUUAACCACAAACAAAUAAUCCAACAUCAAUUUUAAGCACCAAAUAACACAACCUCAUUAUUGCAAAUUACCAACCUAAACAAAUCAAUGACUACAAGCUUUUUAAAUCUAAACAAAUCGGUGACUGCUGGUGCUUCAAAUGAAAUGGGCAUCUUCAAGUCAAAUGGGUGUCUUCAAGUGAUGCAAAUGAAAUGAACCCAUACAAAAUUAGAUUUGGUUCUGCACAACCAAUUAACUCAGUAAAAUAAUUGAAUCUUACUUUGCAGCACAACAAAACCUAAGUUUCUAGCGAGAUGACCACUCCGAUGUUGAGUUCGCAGUGGCCGACUGGCGGGAUGAGGGCUCCAUUGUUCAGUUCGCGACGGCCGACAACGAGAAAAUGUGUGGGAGUUUUCUGAUUUUCCAAGUUGUGGAGUAGGGAGAGCUUUGGAAAUUCUCUAAUUCUUGUAUGGGUGGUUCAUCGGUGAAGAGAUUCGCGGUGACCAGAAUCAAGGUUGGCUAAUUUAGGGCUCUUCUUUGCACUCGAUUUUGGGGAUAGCCUUCUUUUUUUUGUUUUUGUAUCCCGUCAUUUUUCUUUUAUUUAUUUAUUUUUACUCAAAGCCACGUGUUCAAUUUUUUUAAUGCAUGUACAAAGCUUGUUCAAAUGAAUCUGG
rnacentral:lncRNA from 1 species